GGGACCCUUAUCCUGUACAGCAAUAAUUCUCAGUGCUUUCGAUCACAGUGAAGUUGUACAUUAAUCAGAAGGAUGUACUAUUCCCCGUGAGUGGCCACAACCAAACCUGGAGAAGAGCUGACACAGGAAACAGGAAGUCAGGCAGGAAAUGAAACACAUAUGGCAUGCUCUUCGUGACACAAAGCAGGCCCCCAGUGACUGAGCAGAAGUGAGGAGUAUGAGGGAGAGGACGCCCUGACAGUCAUGCUGAUGGAUGGGAUAAUGGAUAGAAAGACAGGAUGAUGAAGAAAGAGUGUGAGACAGGUGUAACGUACUUCAGGAGAAGGCCAGUCCCUGCAGGGAGCUGGCACUGGAGUACUUGCUGGAGUCCACAAAAGAUUGAUCUACUGGAAGCAGAGUGAGGGAGCAGGGAGAAGGGGAAGGAAGAUGAAGGAAACAGAAAGAGAAUUAUUUUUUAAGUGCAGAAAGAGGAACUGGGUCACAGAGCAGCAAACAUAAAAACAGAUUACUGCAAGUUAGGAAAAACUGACAGCUGUCAAAGUGUUAGAUAUUACGCUUGUACAUUAGACACUUUAGAAAUAGAUGGAGACUUAACUCUGCAAAAUCAAACAAGCCAUGAAAAGGCAUACGUUACAGUGAUUUUACCAUGAACAUUGUUGGGAUGUAUCAUGCUUCACAUUCUGCUAACCUUGGAGGCCAUUGCCAUUGGCACUGGUGCAGGUGGGGGGCGGCGAAGCCUGGGGCCGCACAACAGGAGCAAAGGCGCUCUUCUGUUUAACUGCAGAAACCAUGUUG